ACUAAUCAGUGGUGAUUGUGUGCUACAAUUUGCUUAAAAGAUCCAGGGUGAAUAUCAUAGCAUAUGAAAUAGAUGAAGUUUUCUCUCUUAGGAACAUGCUACAGGCUUCAAUUUUAUCAAACACUCCUUACCAGAUCCCUGGAAUCAACCUUUCUAAAUCAGCAGCAAGUGUGAAAUCAUAAGGAUGGUCAUUAGUGAAGACGAACAGAGAGUAGGGACUGCUUGUAAUUGAAAAGGUAAAAAGAUAUGAAAUAGCCAUCACAGACUGAUAAAUUAGAUUGACUCUGAAAAUAUGAAAGCGUUGCUGGG